rnacentral:rRNA from 1 species
UCAAAGGUGUGACGCGGACCGAAAAAGAGUAGGGAAGCUGUUAAGCAAGCCGUCAAGAAAAGCUGCUAUUGUUUCAUUAUGGCCCGUACCGUAAACCGACACAGGUGGAUGGGGAGAGAAUCCUAAGGCCGGCGGAAGAAGUAUUGUUAAGGAACUCGGCAAAAUGACCCCGUAACUUCGGGAGAAGGGGUGCCUGCGAGAGCAGGCCGCAGAGAAGAGGCCCAAGCAACUGUUUAGCAAAAACUCAGGUCUAUGCAAAACCGAAAGGUGAGGUAUAUGGGCUGACGCCUGCCCGGUGCUGGAAGGUUAAGGGGAGUGGUCAGGAAACGAAGCCACGAACUUAAGCCCCAGUAAACGGCGGCCGUAACGAUAACGGUCCUAAGGUAGCGAAAUUCCUUGUCGGGUAAGUUCCGACCCGCACGAAAGGCGUAAUGAUUUGGGCGCUGUCUCGACAAUACAUCCGGUGAAAUCGAAGUGCCAGUGAAGAGGCUGGCUACCUGCGCCAGGACGGAAAGACCCCAUGGAGCUUUACUCCAGCUUGAUACUGGGACCCGGUAUUGCAUGUACAGGAUAGGUGGGAGGCUAGGAAAUGUGGACGCCAGUCUGCAUGGAGCCGCUGUUGGGAUACCACCCUUGUGGUGCUGGGUUUCUAACCAGAGGCCGUGAACCGGUCUGGGGACAAUGUCAGGUGGGGAGUUUGACUGGGGCGGUCGCCUCCGAAAGGGUAUCGGAGGCGCCCAAAGGUUCCCUCAGAAUGGUUGGAAACCAUUCGAAGAGUGCAAAGGCAGAAGGGAGCUUGACUGCGACACCGACGGGUGGAGCAGGUACGAAAGUAGGGCUUAGUGAUCCGGUGGAAUUUAAGUGGGAAUGCCAUCGCUCAACGGAUAAAAGCUACCCUGGGAUAACAGGCUGAUCACUCCCAAGAGUUCACAUCGACGGAGUGGUUUGGCACCUCGAUGUCGGCUCAUCGCAUCCUGGGGCUGAAGUCGGUCCCAAGGGUUGGGCUGUUCGCCCAUUAAAGCGGUACGCGAGCUGGGUUCAGAACGUCGUGAGACAGUUCGGUCCCUAUCCGGCGUGGGCGUAGGAUAUCUGAGAGGAGCUGUCCUUAGUACGAGAGGACCGGGAUGGACUGACCUCUGGUGUACCGGUUGGCGAUCAACGCCACGGCCGGGUAGCCAUGUCGGGACGGGAUAAACGCUGAAGGCAUCUAAGCGUGAAGCCCCCCCUCAAGAUGAGAUAUCCCAUCGUAAGAGUAAGACCCCUUGAAGACGACGAGGUUGAUAGGGCAGGGGUGGAAGUGCUGUAAGGCAUGGAGCUGACUGCUACUAAUCGGUCGAGGGCUUGACC